rnacentral:rRNA from 1 species
GACGAACGCUGGCGGCGUGCUUAACACAUGCAAGUCGAACGAAGAGCGAUGGAAGCUUGCUUCUAUCAAUCUUAGUGGCGAACGGGUGAGUAACGCGUAAUCAACCUGCCCUUCAGAGGGGGACAACAGUUGGAAACGACUGCUAAUACCGCAUACGAUCUAAUCUCGGCAUCGAGGAAAGAUGAAAGGUGGCCUCUACAUGUAAGCUAUCACUGAAGGAGGGGAUUGCGUCUGAUUAGCUAGUUGGAGGGGUAACGGCCCACCAAGGCGAUGAUCAGUAGCCGGUCUGAGAGGGUGGACGGCCACAUUGGGACUGGGACACGGCCCAGGCUCCUACGGGAGGCAGCAGUGGGGAAUCUUCCGCAAUGGGCGGAAGUCUGACGGAGCAACGCCGCGUGAGUGAUGGCGGCCUUCGGGUUGUUAAGCUCUGUUAAUCGGGACGAAAGGCCUUCUUGCGAAUCGUGAGAAGGAUUGACGGUACCGGAAUAGAAAGCCACGGCUAACUACGUG